GAGUAAUGUCUGGGAAACUGCCUGAUGGAGGGGGAUAACUACUGGAAACGGUAGCUAAUACCGCAUAACGUCGCAAGACCAAAGAGGGGGACCUUCGGGCCUCUUGCCAUCGGAUGUGCCCAGAUGGGAUUAGCUAGUAGGUGGGGUAACGGCUCACCUAGGCGACGAUCCCUAGCUGGUCUGAGAGGAUGACCAGCCACACUGGAACUGAGACACGGUCCAGACUCCUACGGGAGGCAGCAGUGGGGAAUAUUGCACAAUGGGCGCAAGCCUGAUGCAGCCAUGCCGCGUGUAUGAAGAAGGCCUUCGGGUUGUAA
rnacentral:rRNA from 1 species